GACGAACGCUGGCGGCGUGCUUAACACAUGCAAGUCGAACGGAAAGGCCUCUUUCGGGGGGUACUCGAGUGGCGAACGGGUGAGUAACACGUGAGUAACCUGCCCUUGACUUUGGGAUAACUUCAGGAAACUGGGGCUAAUACCGGAUAGGAGCUCCUGCUGCAUGGUGGGGGUUGGAAAGUUUCGGCGGUUGGGGAUGGACUCGCGGCUUAUCAGCUUGUUGGUGGGGUAGUGGCUUACCAAGGCUUUGACGGGUAGCCGGCCCGAGAGGGUGACCGGCCACCUUGGGACUGGGAUACGGCCCAGACUCCUACGGGAGGCAGCAGUGGGGAAUAUUGCACAAUGGGUGGAAGCCUGAUGCAGCAACGCCGUGUGCGGGAUGACGGCCUUCGGGUUGUAAACCGCUUUCGCUCAUGACGAAGCUUUGUGUGACGGUAGUGGGUAAAGAAGCACCGGCUAACUACGUG
rnacentral:rRNA from 1 species